AGAACCAAAGGCAUCAAUAAGCAUGCAGGAAGCCAUCCACUCCUGGACCAUGGUGUUUUGGAAAUUCUGAUUUAGUCCUCUGGCAUAGUCUGGCAGGUGGUAAUGGCAGCUUACACCGGGACUCUUCUCCAUUCGUCAGAAGGUGGAAACCUUUUCACUGUUUCUUGAAUCUGGGCUUGGCCAUGUGACUUGCUUUGGGCAAAGGGACAUAUCAAAAGUGACAUAAGCAGUGGCUAAAAACCAAAAUGAGACUUCUCUCUCUGAUCUUGAGAACGUUGUAAUCACUGAAUGAGUCCAAAUAAACCUGCUGGAUGAAGAAACAGUUGGCAAAGUCAUUGCCACUAUCCAACUUACAGCAAGCCUACUGCCCGAUACAUGAAUGAGGCUAUCUGAAAACCCAGCACCAAUGAAUCUGGCUCAGAGAAGAACCAAGAACCAGCCAGGUGAACCGCUGAAGCAUAAAAAUAAAUAUUUACUGUCUAAAGCAAAUUGUUGUUUAACACAACAGAAGUUAACUGAUAUAAAAACUAGUACCCGGUGUGGGGUGUUGCUAUAACAAAACCUAAAACAUCUAAUAAAAUACUAAAAUACAUAGUAUUGGCUUUGGAUGGAGGCUGAAAAAACAGUGAAGAAACUGUUAGUGAAGGUUGAGACAGUGGCAGACAAAGUUGUGCUAUAGUGGAAUAUUUGGCAAAGCUUUCAUCUGCAGAAACUUGGAAGAUAGAAAAUGUACCUAAUGAACUUGUGCCUCUAAAAAGAUUUGAUGAUAGAUGCUGAGUGUGUCAACUGGCCCCUGUUAGCUGCAUAUAAUAAUAUGGAAACAGACAGAAUAAGUUUAAAAAUGAACAGUUUUGUUUACAAGCAGAUUUUAGAAGAAAUAAAAAGAAGCCAGGAAUUGCUGGGUCAAAAAAUAAAUUGUCUCCCACGUUGGUUAAAAUUCACAAAGUAGGAAAUGGCCUAGUAUAAAGACAGACAAAGAUGUGGCUGGUUAUAAGAUUCAUUUUUAAAAAACCUCUAAAAGUUCUAAGGUGGACAGAAGAGUCCUCAGCAAGAUAAAUUGUCUCCUAAUAAUUCUAAGGGCAUUUUUUUUUUCAUAGCAGCCUACCACAUCUAAAGUGGAGGAAGGCCUGUUUUGAAAUGAUUUAGAUGUGAAUUUUGGAAGUGGAGAAUUUUAGAAAUUACAUACAAUAGAUGUAAAUCAGAUCCAUAGGCAAUCCAUGAGUUUUUAAAGACCAUUAUACUAACAAAUCACUGCCAGCUUGGACUAAAAUCAAUUACAAAAAGAAAGUUUUCUAGGCUUCCAACAUUUUGGGGGCAGAAAUCAGACUGAGAAUCAUGGCCGUUUCUAGUUCGAAGGAUGAAAAUCCUAGAGGUGGAGGCAAGAGAUCCAGAGAAAAACAGACAGACAAAUCACUCUCAAGGAGCCGAAAUAGAACUCAAUCAAGGAGCUUACACAGACUUAGAGCAGGGGAUCCUUUUAACAUGUACCUGGAUGGAUUUCAGAAUUUGUUAGACCAAUGGCUGCUCUAUGCCUCCCAUUCCUCAUUUUUCUGAUCAGAAGUAUCUAUUACAAUUACUCUGCUCCCAUCUCACCCUUGUAUAUUAGGUUGGUUGACCACUGGUAACUUACAUUUUUAGUUUAUAAGUCUCUGGAUGAAGAGCAGCUGCAUCCAAUGGGUCAUAUUUAUACCUAUAUUAGAAACAAAUUAUAAGAACCUGGACUUUGAACCAGAUGACAUAAUUGAAUGAGACUACUGAAAUUCUGGAAGUAAGCAUAUUUUUCAUUUAGGAGAAUAUAAUUUGUGGCUGAAAACAGUCUGCAGUAGAUUUUAAAAAUUGCUACAAAUGUUCCAUCUCUUUAUACAUAUCAUUUUACAACCUGAUUUUGUAGUUCCUUCCAUCAACGGUUGGUCUAUUUCGUGAAUCUACCUGUUCUUUCUAGGCUUGGUCAUGUGAAUUACUUUGGUCAAUGAGACAUGAACAAAUAUGAUACAAGCAGAGGCUUUAAAAGACUUGCAUAUUGGAGCUUGCCCUCAUUUUCUGCACUUGGAAUUCUGCAAUUGCCAUCAUGUGAACAAGCCCUGGCUAGCCUCCUGGAUGAUUAUAGCCAAAUCACCUCCAUCACUCAAGGUGACACUGAGUCAACUGCCUGAAGCCAUCCUAGACCAUCCAGCUUCAGCUGAAACAGCCCAGAAGAAGAAUCAUAUGAAAUAAUAAAUUAUUGUUGUUUGAAAACUA